rnacentral:tRNA from 1 species
CGCAGUGGCGUGUGUAAUUUGUGCUCUUCAAGGUAACGCAACAGCAUGAGGUCGCGCCCAAGUGUGAUGGCUUCGGC